CUUUGUCUUGGCUCCUGACCGCAAAACUAUGGUACCAUUCCCCAUACUCCGACUACAUGUGGAUCCAUUUGGACUAAAUGCGCCUAUAACAUAUAUAUAUGCAUAUAUAAUAAUAAAUCUACAGCAGAAUAAAAGUAUUGAAGAAUUAAAUAUAUAACUAUCGCAUUGAGGAAUAUUACACACAUCAGACGAAAGAAUAAAAAAAAAAGCAAAAAAUAGUUACUUAUUACAGAAGGAGAUCUAGGUCCAGCAGAGUAUAAUCUCAAAUCGUCCUGAUAAUCGUCAUCACAGCGACGCAUUUCGUGAAGACAUCGUGACGCCAAAUGCCGGAAAACGCUCAUGACUCCGACAUCCUCUUUCACCGAUGUUCUUAAAAGCUUACAACCUAGGAUAUGACCAAGCCUCUCAGCUUCAUCCCUAAAACAAUGCUAUGCUUGAGAUUAUUUGAAAUUGCAUUAUUAAUUAAGCAAACUAAAUGUUAGGCUUACAGAUCAAUGACGCAUUGAUCAACAAGGUCCAUCUUAUUUUGUACAAGAACCGUGGGAAUUUCACCACACUCAUUCUUCACCUG